rnacentral:lncRNA from 1 species
AUGAGAAAGUUGUGAAGUUGUUUUGUUGUUGCGCAACCCCCUGCUCCCCCUUUGCCAAAAAAAACAAAAAGGUAAUAAAAAAUUAUCAUAUAAGGGCAAUCUAUCCUUUUAAUGAUUUCUGCAAAAUUCAGUUGAUUGUGCAAGGGUUGUAUAGCCAGCUGAGGUCGUUAAAAACUCUCUUUUGUUGUUGCAGAUAGAUCUUGACCUGAUAAACAAUUUUACCACAUGUCAGAUUUGCUCUAAAUGCUUUGGUUUUUGAGUGAUAAGCCAAAAACUGCAUUUUACCCCUAUGUUCUAUUUUUAGCCAUGGCGGCCAUCUUGGUUGGUUGGCCGGGUCAUC